GGAGGGUUGGCUGAGCGGCCGAAAGCAACACACUGCUAAUGUGUUAGGGGAGAAAUCCCCUCGUGGGUUCGAAUCCCACACCCUCCG
rnacentral:tRNA from 1 species